AGACCCUUCGGGCCCAAUGGUCAAGCCUAGCGGGCUCUGGACCCGCUGACCUCGGUUCGAAUCCGGGCGGGGCUA
rnacentral:tRNA from 1 species